GACGUAGGGCGCGAGCGUUGUCCGGAUUUAUUGGGCGUAAAGAGCUCGUAGGCGGUGUGUCACGUCGGCCGUGAAAACCUGCAGCUUAACUGUGGGCGUGCGGUCGAUACGGGCAUCACUGGAGUUCGGCAGGGGAGACUGGAAUUCCUGGUGUAGCGGUGAAAUGCGCAGAUAUCAGGAGGAACACCGGUGGCGAAGGCGGGUCUCUGGGCCGUAACUGACGCUGAGGAGCGAAAGCGUGGGGAGCGAACAGG
rnacentral:rRNA from 1 species